UGCAAGUCGAACAGGUAACAGGUUAAGCUGACGAGUGGCGAACGGGUGAGUAAUGUAUCGGAACGUGCCCAGUCGUGGGGGAUAACUGCUCGGAAGAGCAGCUAAUACCGCAUACGACCUGAGGGUGAAAGCGGGGGAUCGCAAGACCUCGCGCGAUUGGAGCGGCCGAUAUCAGAUUAGGUAGUUGGUGAGGUAAAGGCUCACCAAGCCGACGAUCUGUAGCUGGUCUGAGAGGACGACCAGCCACACUGGGACUGAGACACGGCCCAGACUCCUACGGGAGGCAGCAGUGGGGAAUUUUGGACAAUGGGCGCAAGCCUGAUCCAGCCAUGCCGCGUGCGGGAAGAAGGCCUUCGGGUUGUAAACCGCUUUUGUCAGGGAAGAAAAGGUUCUGGCUAAUACCUGGGACUCAUGACGGUACCUGAAGAAUAAGCACCGGCUAACUACGUGCCAGCAGCCGCGGUAAUACGUAGGGUGCAAGCGUUAAUCGGAAUUACUGGACGUAAAGCGUGCGCAGGCGGUUAUGCAAGACAGAGGUGAAAUCCCCGGGCUCAACCUGGGAACUGCCUUUGUGACUGCAUGGCUAGAGUACGGUAGAGGGGGAUGGAAUUCCGCGUG
rnacentral:rRNA from 1 species